rnacentral:lncRNA from 1 species
UCUAUUUCUUAAAAAUGCUUGUAGAGACUCUAAAGAUUUUUAGGAGAAUUGAAAGCAAACUCGAUUGUUAAACUCAAACCCAACUAUAUGCCUAUGGCGCAAAAUAGGUGAAUCUUGGACAAAUUUAAUAUAUUGCAGUGUUGACUAUAUUUUUUUUGGAAAAAUUGUUGACUGUAUUGAAUGAAAAUGAGGAUAGACAACUAAAAUAAAAAAACUUUGAUCAACUAAACAAAAAAGGAAAGAAAAAAAAUAAAAAGGAAAAGAAAGAAAACCGUUGAAGGUUUUAAAAAAUUGUCAAUGUGGGAUUUGACCACGCUCUUUAAAACAUCUCCGACUCAUUUGGUAAGUAUAUGGCUGCCCUUUUUUUAUACAUAAAAAUUGUGAUUUAUUUUUU